UGGAAUUAGUUGUGUAGGGGUAAAAUCCGUAGAGAUAACUAGGAAUACCAAAAGCGAAGGCAAUCUCUGGAACACUACUGACGCUGAGGCGCGAAAGCGUGGGGAGCAAACGGGAUUAGAUACCCCGGUAGUCCACGCAGUAAACGAUGAAUGUUAGUCGUCGGGGGCCUCGUGUCUUCGGUGAUGCAGCUAACGCAUUAAACAUUCCGCCUGGGGAGUACGGUCGCAAGAUUAAAACUCAAAGGAAUAGACGGGGACCCGCACAAGUGGUGGAGCACGUGGUUUAAUUCGAAGAUACGCGAAGAACCUUACCUAGCCUUGACAUAUUUGAAAAUCCACCAGAGAUGGAGGAGUGCCUUCGGGAGUUCAUAUACAGGUGCUGCACGGCUGUCGUCAGCUCGUGUCGUGAGAUGUUGGGUUAAGUCCCGCAACGAGCGCAACCCUCGUCACUAGUUACUAACGGUUCGGCCGAGGACUCUAGUGAGACUGCCUUCGUAAGGAGGAGGAAGGUGAGGACGACGUCAAGUCAUCAUGGCCCUUACGGCUAGGGCAACACACGUGCUACAAUGGUUGGGACAGUGAGACGCGAUACCGCGAGGUGGAGCAAAUCUAUAAACCCAAUCUCAGUUCGGAUUGUAGUCUGCAACUCGACUACAUGAAGCUGGAAUCACUAGUAAUCGUAGAUCAGCUAUGCUACGGUGAAUACGUUCCCGGGUCUUGUACUCACCGCCCGUCACACCAUGGGAGUUGAUUUCACCCGAAGCGGGGAAGCUAAACUGGCUACCCUCCACGGUGGAAUUAGCGACUGGGGUGAAGUCGUAACAAGGUAACCGUAGGAGAACCUGCGGCUGGAUAACCUCCUU
rnacentral:rRNA from 1 species